rnacentral:rRNA from 1 species
UACGUAGGGAGCAAGCGUUGUCCGGAAUCAUUGGGCGUAAAGCGCGCGUAGGUGGCUUCGUAAGUCCGUUGUGAAAGUCAAAGGCUCAACCUUUGAAAGCCGAUGGAUACUGUGAAGCUAGAGUACGGAAGAGGCGAGUGGAAUUCCUGGUGUAGCGGUGGAAUGCGCAGAUAUCAGGAGGAACACCAAUAGCGAAGGCAGCUCGCUGGGACGCUACUGACACUGAGGCGCGAAAGCGUGGGGAGCGAACAGG